CCUACGGGAGGCAGCAGUGAGGAAUAUUGGUCAAUGGGCGGAAGCCUGAACCAGCCAAGUAGCGUGCAGGAUGACGGCCCUACGGGUUGUAAACUGCUUUUAUACGGGAAUAACGCGGCUUACGUGAAGGGCUUUGCAUGUACCGUAUGAAUAAGGGACGGCUAAUUCCGGGCCAGCAGCCCCGGUAAUACGGGGGAUGCGAGCGUUAUCUGGUUUUUUUUGGUUUAAAGGGGGAGCGGGCGGAAGGUUAAGACAGCGGUAAAGUUGAGAGGCUCAACCUCUUCGAGCCGUUGAAACUGGUGUUCUUGAGUGAGCGAGAAGUAUGCGGAAUGCGUGGUGUAGCGGUGAAAUGCAUAGAUAUCACGCAGAACUCCGAUUGCGAAGGCAGCAUACCGGCGCUCAACUGACGCUCAGGCACGAAAGUGUGGGUAUCGAACAGGAUUAGAUACCCGUGUAGUC
rnacentral:rRNA from 1 species